rnacentral:rRNA from 1 species
UACGAAGGGGGGCUAGCGUUGUUCGGAAUCACUGGGCGUAAAGGGCGCGUAGGCGGCUGUUCAAGUCGGGGGUGAAAGCCUGUGGCUCAACCACAGAAUUGCCUUCGAUACUGGACGGCUCGAGACCGGAAGAGGUCAGUGGAACUGCGAGUGUAGAGGUGAAAUUCGUAGAUAUUCGCAAGAACACCAGUGGCGAAGGCGGCUGACUGGUCCGGUUCUGACGCUGAGGCGCGAAAGCGUGGGGAGCAAACAGG